AGAGUUUGAUCCUGGCUCAGGACGAACGCUGGCGGCGUGCCUAAUACAUGCAAGUAGAACGCUGAAGAGAGGAGCUUGCUCUUCUUGGAUGAGUUGCGAACGGGUGAGUAACGCGUAGGUAACCUGCCUUGUAGCGGGGGAUAACUAUUGGAAACGAUAGCUAAUACCGCAUAACAAUGGAUGACCCAUGUCAUUUAUUUGAAAGGGGCAAAUGCUCCACUACAAGAUGGACCUGCGUUGUAUUAGCUAGUAGGUGAGGUAACGGCUCACCUAGGCGACGAUACAUAGCCGACCUGAGAGGGUGAUCGGCCACACUGGGACUGAGACACGGCCCAGACUCCUACGGGAGGCAGCAGUAGGGAAUCUUCGGCAAUGGGGGCAACCCUGACCGAGCAACGCCGCGUGAGUGAAGAAGGUUUUCGGAUCGUAAAGCUCUGUUGUAAGUCAAGAACGAGUGUGAGAGUGGAAAGUUCACACUGUGACGGUAACUUACCAGAAAGGGACGGCUAACUACAUGCCAGCAGCCGCGGUAAUACGUAGGUCCCGAGCGUUGUCCGGAUUUAUUGGGCGUAAAGCGAGCGCAGGCGGUUUGAUAAGUCUGAAGUUAAAGGCUGUGGCUCAACCAUAGUUCGCUUUGGAAACUGUCAAACUUGAGUGCAGAAGGGGAGAGUGGAAUUCCAUGUGUAGCGGUGAAAUGCGUAGAUAUAUGGAGGAACACCGGUGGCGAAAGCGGCUCUCUGGUCUGUAACUGACGCUGAGGCUCGAAAGCGUGGGGAGCGAACAGGAUUAGAUACCCUGGUAGUCCACGCCGUAAACGAUGAGUGCUAGGUGUUGGAUCCUUUCCGGGAUUCAGUGCCGCAGCUAACGCAUUAAGCACUCCGCCUGGGGAGUACGACCGCAAGGUUGAAACUCAAAGGAAUUGACGGGGGCCCGCACAAGCGGUGGAGCAUGUGGUUUAAUUCGAAGCAACGCGAAGAACCUUACCAGGUCUUGACAUCCCGAUGCUAUUUCUAGAGAUAGAAAGUUACUUCGGUACAUCGGUGACAGGUGGUGCAUGGUUGUCGUCAGCUCGUGUCGUGAGAUGUUGGGUUAAGUCCCGCAACGAGCGCAACCCCUAUUGUUAGUUGCCAUCAUUCAGUUGGGCACUCUAGCGAGACUGCCGGUAAUAAACCGGAGGAAGGUGGGGAUGACGUCAAAUCAUCAUGCCCCUUAUGACCUGGGCUACACACGUGCUACAAUGGUUGGUACAACGAGUUGCGAGUCGGUGACGGCAAGCUAAUCUCUUAAAGCCAAUCUCAGUUCGGAUUGUAGGCUGCAACUCGCCUACAUGAAGUCGGAAUCGCUAGUAAUCGCGGAUCAGCACGCCGCGGUGAAUACGUUCCCGGGCCUUGUACACACCGCCCGUCACACCACGAGAGUUUGUAACACCCGAAGUCGGUGAGGUAACCUUUUGGAGCCAGCCGCCUAAGGUGGGAUAGAUGAUUGGGGUGAAGUCGUAACAAGGUA
rnacentral:rRNA from 1 species